rnacentral:rRNA from 1 species
ACUAACUAGGAUUCCCCUAGUAGCUGCGAGCGAACAGGGAGAAGCCCAGCACUGAAUCCUGCGUGCCGUGCGCACGCGUGGAAAUGUAGUGUUUGGGAGGAUCCGAUCAUCUCGUGCAGUCGCACCAGUCCAAGUCCAUCUUGAAAGCGGCCACAGCCCGUAGAGGGUGCCAGGCCCGUAGGACGGUCGACGCAUGCACGAAAGGAUCUCUCCCAGAGUUCAAGAGUACGUGAAACCGUUCGGGGGUAAACGGAUGAAAUUUGGAAAAUCGAAGGGAGAGAUUCAAGCCUCACUGUCGCGCGUUGCGCGGGUGGCCCCCGAUGGGGGAUCGGGGCCCGUGCGCGGAAGCAAUUCCCGCCGGUGUCCUUCGGUCUUCCCACGUGGCGUCGUCGCUCCGCUCGCCGGCGUCUGGCCGCACUUUUCUCCUUGUAGUACGUCGCGACCCGUUGGGCGCGUGUCCAAGGCCCGCCGUGGAGCCGGCUCGAGUCGCUGCGGCUUGGCUUCGGCCAUUGCCCGCGCUCGGUCGACCGCGCGGUGUCCCGACACGCGGGCUCGACGGUAGACACUAGUCGGUCCGAAAAGAACCCCACCUCCGCGUGGGGCGGCUCCUCAAGGGGCACGGUCCGCGUCUGCGACGCUCUAUCCAGAGCAUCAUCCGACCCGUCUUGAAACACGGACCAAGGAGUCUAACAUGUGCGCGAGUCAUUGGGACCGUACUAAACCUAAAGGCGUAAUGAAAGUGAAUGUCGGCCACCUCGGUGGUGCGGGCAGAGGGGAGAUGUCGACCGCGCGAGCCGCGUGUCGAUCGCAUCCCCGGGGCGUCUCGUCGUCAUCGCGACGCAGCAGGCGCACCCAGAGCGUACACGUUGGGACCCGAAAGAUGGUGAACUAUGCCUGGUCAGGUCGAAGUCAGGGGAACUGGCACUCGGAGUAAAACGAAAUCGGUGAUUGGUUCGGCCCUUGCGUCUCCCUCGGGGGGCGCAUCGAGUCGCCCACCGGAAACCAGUCUCAUCUGGUAAAGCGAAUGAUUAGAGGCCUUGGGGCCGAAACGACCUCAACCUAUUCUCAAACUUUAAAUGGGUGAGACAUUCGACUUGCUUGAAUGCUUGUCGUUGAAGUCGAACCACGUGUGGAGAGGAUGAAAGAGUGCCAAGUGGGCCAAUUUUGGUAAGCAGAACUGGUGCUGUGGGAUGAACCAAACGCCGAGUUAAGGCGCCUAAAUCGAUGCUCAUGGGAUACCAUGAAAGGCGUUGGUUGCUUAAGACAGCAGCGAUGUUGAUGUGCAGUCGCAAAAUCGUUCGGCUUAAUUGCAAAUGAGAUCGAUGGACCACAUAGGGCGAAAGGGAAUCCGGUUCCUAUUCCGGAACCCGGCAGCGGAACCGACCAUGCGGGCCAAUGUCUAGCGAUAGGCAACUCGUCGGGGUAACCCAAAAAGACCCGGAGACGCCGUCGGAUGAUCGGGGCAGAGUUUUCUGUUCUGUAUGAGCGUUCGAGUUCCCUGGAAGCGCCUAGCGCGGAGAUAGGGUUUGGAACGCGAAGAGCACCGCACUUGCGGCGGUGUCCCGAUCUAUUCCUCGGACCUUGAAAAUCCGGGAGAGGGCCACGUGGAGGU